GCUGUCUCUCUCCAGUCUCUCUCCAGACUCUCUCCAGUCUCUCUCCAGUCUCUCUCCAGUCUCUCUCCAGUCUCUCUCCAGCUGCUGUCUCUCUCCAGUCUCUCUCCAGACUCUCUCCAGUCUCUCUCCAGUCUCUCUCCAGUCUCUCUCCAGUCUCUCUCCAGUUGCUCUGCUGUCUCUCUCCAGUCUCUCUCCAGUCUCUCUCCAGUCUCUCUCCAGCUGCUGUCUCUCUCCAGUCUCUCUCCAGUCUCUCUCCAGUCUCUCUCCAGUCUCUCUCCAGUCUCUCUCCAGUCUCUCUCCAGUCUUUCUCCAGCUGCUGUCUCUCUCCAGUCUCUCUCCAGUCUUUCUCCAGCUGCUGUCUCUCUCCAGUCUCUCUCCA
rnacentral:lncRNA from 1 species